rnacentral:rRNA from 1 species
UACGAAGGGGGCUAGCGUUGUUCGGAUUUACUGGGCGUAAAGAGCGUGUAGGCGGCCAGGUAGGUCCGUUGUGAAAACUGGAGGCUCAACCUCCAGCGGUCGAUGGAAACCAUCUGGCUAGAGUCCGGAAGAGGAGAGUGGAAUUCCUGGUGUAGCGGUGAAAUGCGUAGAUAUCUGGAGGAAUACCGGUGGCGAAGGCGGCAUCCUGGACCGGCAUUGACGCUGAUGAGCGAAAGCUAGGGGAGCAAACGGG